AACGAACGCUGGCGGCAGGCCUAACACAUGCAAGUCGAGCGAAGCCUUCGGGCUUAGCGGCGGACGGGUGAGUAACGCGUGGGAACGUGCCCUUUGCUACGGAAUAGCCCCGGGAAACUGGGAGUAAUACCGUAUGUGCCCUUCGGGGGAAAGAUUUAUCGGCAAAGGAUCGGCCCGCGUUGGAUUAGGUAGUUGGUGGGGUAAUGGCCUACCAAGCCGACGAUCCAUAGCUGGUUUGAGAGGAUGAUCAGCCACACUGGGACUGAGACACGGCCCAGACUCCUACGGGAGGCAGCAGUGGGGAAUCUUAGACAAUGGGGGAAACCCUGAUCUAGCCAUGCCGCGUGAUCGAUGAAGGCCUUAGGGUUGCAAAGAUCUUUCAGUGGGGAAGAUAAUGACUGUACCCACAGAAGAAGCCCCGGCUAACUCCGUGCCAGCCGCCGCAGUAAUAC
rnacentral:rRNA from 1 species